rnacentral:lncRNA from 1 species
AAAAAGGCUUUCUACCUCUUUAAACAGAUGUUUCCAGUGGUUUAUUCUUCACUGUUUAUAACCUUUGGCAUGUUUGAAAGGAUUGGCAAUCAGACCAGACUUGGAUUCCAAAACUGCAGCCAAAUUGCUUUUGCCUUUGUAAAGUAAUAAACAAAUGAAAAUUAGCUCCAGAGGGUAUAAGAACAUUUUAAAUAUAGAGAAAAGGAAUUCUCAUCUGUAGCCAUCCUGAAGCAGUAGGUCAGUAUAAAAACACUCAAUCUCUUUAUGUCCCUUGUUUGACUUCUCUACCUGUCUGCUAACUCUGCCAGCCUGUCUAAUAUUUUCUACUCCCCAUCUGAUAUCUCCUUGCAGGUCUCUGAUCUAUUCUUGUCUUUCUGGUAUCUCAGUGUGUAGCUCCCUGAUUCUUUGCACCCAACGACCUCUCAUGGCUGUCUGAAAAACAUUCUGACAUCACCUGUCUCUCUGAUAUCUCUGAAAUAUCUCAUCCAGCAUGUAGCCAGUUUGUUUGUUUUUUUGAGGAGGGGGAGAGGGGGAUACCGGGCAUGCUAAUUUGCAUAAUUAAUUAUGUAUGCGUGACAUAACAGGAUGCAAUGUAACCUGGUAUUAUUGAACUAACAUAAGGGGAAAAAAUUGGAAAGGGAAAAUUCCCUAAAUCACAAAUAAGCUACUAAGAAUGUGUGCACUGUGUUUGACUGUGCAUGUAGCCAUGUGUAUGUGUAGCAGUGUAUACUGUCUGAAUGAGUGUGUAUAUAGCAGUAUGUGCAUACUGUGUAGUGUGCCAUCUAUAACAGAGGUGGAUAUUCUGGCUCCAUAUUUCUCAACAUUCUCCCAGAAUCCAGUCAGAGAAAAAUAAUGGCUUUUGCAUUACUGGUAUUUUUUACAAUACUAAAAUAUUGGUUGUGCCAGUAAGACCCUACCUAGCUCCCCUAGCCUGACAUAUCCCCUAACUUAAUAUAUCCUCCUUCCUCUAUGAUAUCUCUAAUAUCAUGUCUAAUAUCUCCCCCUUUCCUCUCUGAUAUCUUCCCCUAUCCUAAUAUAUUCUCCAUCAUCUCUAAUAACUCCCUCUAUCUCCCUAUAGCCUGUCUAAUAUCUCUCCCAUCCUGUCUGAUUUCUCCCCCUGUAUUCUUUAAAAUCUCCCCCAACCUGUUUUGAUAUAUCCGCCUGUAAUCUCUGAUAUGUCCCCAGCCUGUCUGAAAUCUAUCUCCCCCAUCCUCACUGAUAUCUCCUACUAUCCUGUCUAAUAUCUCCCCCUAUCCUAUCUGAUAUAGUCCUUGUCUUGUCUGAAAUCUCCCCCAUCCACUCUGAUAUCUCCCCCUAUCCUAUCUGAUAUAGUCAUCUUUCUGUCUGAUAUCUCCCCCUAUCCUGUCUGCUAUCUCCCCCAUCCUCUCUGAUAUAGUCCUCUUCCUGUCUGAUAUCUCUCCAUCAUCGCUGAUAUCUCCUCCUAAAACUCACACUUGAUACAUAUAAAUAAUAUUGUAUUGUUUUUCUUCCAGUUGCCAUGAUUUCCAUCCCCUCUCCUUCCACCUGGCACUAUUCUCUCGCUUCUCUUGCAAUAUUCCCCUUCACCUACAGUUCUCAACUUAGGUGUCAUCUUUAAUUGGAUCUUGCCUGCCAUCACAAUCUGUGUUUCUAUGACUUUUACAAGUAACUAAUCAUCUUUUCUCUGCUUAUUUUAGAGCCUGGCAGAUGGUGAGCUUCACAAAUGGGAGGCAAAGUUCUUCAUGAAGAUAUAUUGGCCGCUCACCCCUUGAGAAGCUCCCACUAAAAGCUGCUACAAGUGCCUGCAAGCCAACAAGCUAAUUUUCAUCUAACAUGUGAAAUGUUAAGGAGAGCUGUAUUUCUAUUUAAUUACCCAUCCAUACCCAGGUGCUUUCAUUUAAGCGUUCUCUUUGCAACAUUAGCAGGAGUGCUGAUCCCUUUAAAUUCCAAGCACCAUAGUUAAGCCAUAGGGGUAGUCGCUUAUUAACCAAGCGCAGAGAAUUUAAUGUGAAAAAAUAAGACAUAAUGCCCCCAUCUCAGCGCCCACCCAUGGGCGGUGGGUGGGGGCUAUUAUAAUAUCAUUUUUGGACGAUUAGGGCUCUAAUUAUAUUCAAGGGGGAGGGCCUAGAUUCCCCUAAGCCCCACCCAUGGGUGGUGGGUCUCUAAUAAUAUUCAAGGGGGGUUGGACAUAACAUUGUCCAGUGUCCACCUCCCUAGGUGGCUAGGGGUCUUGAUUAAUCUAAGUAACCCUACCUACCCCCCAACCCCCCCGAGAUUAAUAAUAGUGAAGGAGGGCAUUAAAACUAAUACCUUUAAAAUUUUAAAUUAUACUUCCCAUCAGAGGUCUUCUUUAAACUUUCUUUCUACUCUGCUGCGUGAAUGGUGGAGUACGGCAAACAUGCCAGGGGGGCUGAGGUAUGCUCUACCGGUGCCUUCCCGGGGGGUCCAAAAAGCGCACAGAGAGGAAAGCACGUUACUCAUGGGGAGUAGACACUGGUCCUGAGUUAGUAUAUGAGUAUAAUGGUACACUUAGUUAGCAAUCAGAAGUAUAACAACACACCUACGAUAAAAAGUAAGAGGGGAUGAAAGGUGUGUGACAACUCCAGGCAAUACUAACGCAACUCAAAGGUUACGAGUGCGAAAAAGGGAGUAUUUGCACGGGAAGCCAGUACUGUGAAUUCUAAGGCAGAUGUGUUACACAAUAAAAACGUGUGGUUUGGCAAGUCAUGACUAAAGUUCAUUUUAAGUUGUUUUUAAAAAAGAAAAGGAAAAACCCUUGACUGCCAGUGAAAAAGUCAACUACCUGUGUAAAUUUAAAUUUGUAUACAGUUUUCCUAUGUGUAACUAUGAUCGUAUGUGUUGCAUGUUGUCCGGCUUUUGCAAAAGCCGAUAUGUUGAAAUUAUAUCACUGUGCCUGUCAAGAUGAUAAAAUAAAGAAUUUUAAAAAAUAUAUAAA